rnacentral:rRNA from 1 species
AUUGAACGCUGGCGGCAGGCCUAACACAUGCAAGUCGAGCGGAGCGGCGGACGGGUGAGUAAUGCCUAGGAAUCUGCCUGGUAGUGGGGGAUAACGUCCGGAAACGGGCGCUAAUACCGCAUACUAUCAGAUGAGCCUAGGUCGGAUUAGCUAGUUGGUGGGGUAAAGGCCUACCAAGGCGACGAUCCGUAACUGGUCUGAGAGGAUGAUCAGUCAAACUGGGACUGAGACACGGUCCAGACUCCAACGGAACGCAGCAGUGGGGAACAUUGGACAAUAGGUGAAACCCUAAUCCUGCCUCACCGCGUGUGUGAAGAAGGUCGUCUGAUUGUGGAUCACUAUCGGUUGGGAUGCUUACCCCACAGAAUUAGCACCGGCUUACUUCCAGCCAGCAGCCGCGGUAAUAC